rnacentral:piRNA from 1 species
UGGUGCUGCUGGUUUGGUUGAGCUGCCA